AUCACCAAACUGAAGAAGUCAGGAAAAAGGUGCGCCUGUUCUGUGGGAACCAGCGGAGGUUCGUGGCAUCGAAAUGAGGUUUGAAAUUUAAGUUUCGAUGCGGUGAUGAUUCUCGGGAACUGGAUGCUUUUCGUAAGAACUUUGACUAUUGGAAUCCCAACAAUUCCACGAAACAUAAUUUAUGGGGCUUGUCUGUGUAUUCCAUCAGCUUUGAUGGUCGUACUACUUACUCGGAUUUAGUCAUUUGCAAGCUCAAGAACAAACAUAAGUUGAGUGUUG
rnacentral:lncRNA from 1 species